rfam:Canis lupus familiaris chromosome 22, whole genome shotgun sequence.
ACCUGGCUGGCUCAGUCGGUAGAGCAUGUGACUCUUGAUCCUGGGGUUGAGAGUUCAAGCCUCACAUUGGGUG